GUCGACAGGAUCCACGCGCGAGGGGCAGGGGAUCCAGUCGACACAAGCCGCGCGAGGGAUCCAGCACUCGAGGGGAUCAACCCUAGGCGCGGGAUGCGGGUGAUCCGCCUCGUGUAAGAGGCGAACCUGUCGCCCCUCAUGGUGUACUUCAUGGCCAACAACGCUUGCUUGCCUGACCACUUAUAGGCACACCAGGACAAGCCCCUCGAGGAGACAGCAGUACCAGGAAUAGCAGAGGCCAGCCACUAUUUCCUUCGAUUGCAGCAUCCCUGUACGAGGUUCAGCCAUGGCUCCGGGAUAUAUUAGCAUCUUUCAUGGAGAUUCAUUGUGCCCCUUCCUUUCAUACUCUAUUCCAGCAACAAAACCAGUGGAAAAACUUGCAGGGCUGCAAAGCUUGCACACGUAUUUUGGUUGGAUUCAUGGCUGGCCUUUUUACAGUGGAUUCAGGGCAGGUAAGUGCAUAUGGAAGGAAAAAAAUGGUACCAAAUGUAUGCGUUCAAAUCAUAUAUCUCUUUUCAAUGUUUAAUAAUCUGCUUCAUGAUUAUUUUUCCAAGAGACAUGACUGAACUCAAGCGUUCAUUAUCUCUGCUGACAUGAAGUGACACCUUUUAAGAACACGGUACAUAUGGAAAUGAAGCAAAUAGCAGAAAUUCUUUGUUGACAAAAGUCCGUAUUAAUGGCAGCCAUCCUUUUGAAUAACACUGUUUGCAUGUAUUAAGCUAAAAAGAAAAGAUAUACAUUAUAUGUCUUGUUUGUUGGGUUACCCGUUAACAUGAUGUAUCAGGGGUUACUUUUCACAAUCAUUGUUGUUGCUUUCUUCAA